GAUGAGAUUUCCCAUUUCUUCGGAAAGUAAGAUCCCUGAAAGAUGAUCAGGUAGAUAGGUUUGGAGUGGAAGUGUAGCGAUACAUGGAGCGGACAAAUACUAAUCGAUCGAGGACUUAACCAA
rnacentral:rRNA from 1 species